rnacentral:lncRNA from 1 species
AUUGUUCGUGGUCUCUGCAGCAUUCAUAUCUAAUGGUGUCGGGGAGGGCUGAUUGAUCGUCGGUUCUAUGCUCGACAUUGGACCUUGGGUGUUCGAGGCAGCUUUCUCGUUCGACAUCUUCUGCCUAGAUGGUUUGAUAACCUACGAACUAAAUCGAUAUUCCACACUAAAUUCCUUUGAAUCACAUGUCACAACUUGCACAUAUAGCAAAUACAAAAUCUCACAAUUCAAAAAAUAUUACAUCUCACACAAAAAAAAAUGAACUAGUCUAAAUACCACAUCUCACAAUUGCAGAUAUCACAAAUUCGACAAUCAAUUGUUUCCCUAUUCAUCCACAUAAAACCAAGUCCUAAGCAAUCACAUGUCACAACUUGCACAUUUAGCAAAUACAAAAUCUCACAAUUCGAAAAAUAUUACAUCUCACACAUAAAAAAAUGAACAAGUCUAAAUACCACCUCACCGUUGCACAUAUCACAAAUUCAACAAAUCAAUUGUUACCCUAUUCAUCCACAUAUAACCCUAAGUCCCAAGCAAUCACAUGUCACCACUUGUGCAUAUAGCAAAUACAAAAUCUCACAAUUUCCAUAAUAUUACAUCUCACAAUUUGCACACAUAUCAAAUACGACAUAUCACAGACUGUAUAUUUUCGCAUUUCAUCAAAUUCAUAGUAAAAAAAUGGGACAUAGUCUUUACCAGGGUAGGGGCAGUAGGCCGGCAGCG